UGGUCAUGUUAGAAAAGGCAAUUCAAUACACAUUGAUCCAAAAUGAAGCUUCACCCACAUCAAUUUAAUUAAAAGUAUUCAUUUAUGCACUUCAAAAAUGCUCGACAUCGAGCUAUCUUUCCAAUGCAUCUUGACCUAAAAUGAAAGUCAGAUGAGGAAAUCAUUAAUGACUUGCUGAAGAUAUGUCAGUGUUAACAAACUUAUAGAAAUUAUGAAAAUGCCAUUACAAUUCAAGAGGGAAAAACAAGAGGGAUAGAAGAAGAAUGGAACCUUAGAAGAGAUUGAGAAAGCACUACACUGAUGUCCUCAUCAUUAAGCACAACCUCACUAGUUGGCCAAAGGGCUGUGGUGAAGGCCAUCAACUACAUUGACAAAUCAAUGGUUGAAGACUAUGGUGGCAAUAAUUAUUGACCACAGUGGCAUGGCAUAGGGUUCCGCA
rnacentral:lncRNA from 1 species